GUGCUCACCUCGGCAGCACAUAUGCUGAAAUUGGAACAAUAUGGAGAAAAUUAGUAUGGCCCCUCCACAAGGAUGAUGUGCAAAUUCAUGAAGCAUUCCAUAUUUUA
ensembl:snRNA U6 U6 spliceosomal RNA